ACCCCACUAGCUCAGCUGGUAGAGCACCUGACUCUUAAUCAGGGUGUCCAGGGUUCGAGUCCCUGGUGGGGUACCA
rnacentral:tRNA from 1 species